GUCAGGGAACUACGAGCAGAGCUUAAAACCCAAAGGACUUGACGGUACCCCAUAUCCCCCUAGAGGAGCCUGUCCUAUAAUCGAUAAUCCCCGUUUAACCUCACCACAUCUAGCUUAUCAGCCUGUAUACUUCCGUCGCAAGCCUACCACUUGAGCGAAGCUUAGUUAGCCCAAUGUCCACACAUAAAUGUGUUUAUAUCGACAAUACGUCAGGUCAAAGUGCAGCAAACGCUGUGGGAUGAGAUUGGCUACACUUUUUAACUUAGAAGAAACGGAAACAAAAUGAAACUUUGUCAGAAGGUGGAUUUAGCAGUAAAAUGAAAAUAUCAAAUUCAUUUUAACUCGGCACUGGGGUGUGU
rnacentral:rRNA from 1 species